CCCGGGGCCCGGCACAUGCGCGCGCAGGCGGCGGGCGGGAACCGGCGCGAGGGCGGGCGGAGCCCGCUGUUCCCGCCCUUCCCAGGCCGCCCGCGGGCCAAGGUAGUUCUCUCUCCGGUCGGCCGGCGGGGGUCAGGCGGCGGGUUCCGGUUCCGGGUCGCGCAGCCUGUCAUGGCGGCGCCCAGCGGGCCGGACGAGGAGGAAGAGGCGGCGGCGGCCCCUGGGAGGCGGCAGCCGUUCGGGAGCCGCUUUCUGACCGACCCGAGCCGGCUCUUCCAGCACAACGCCUGGGAUAAUGUAGAAUGGUCUGAAGAGCAGGAAGCCAGUGCAAGGAACAAAGUUCAAGAGAACAGCAGGCAGCUUGUUCCACAAGACAAACAAGAUGAAUAUGAGCUCAAUGCUAAUGAAUACUGGAAUGAUUUCUAUAAAAUCCAUGAAAAUGGCUUCUUCAAGGACAGACACUGGCUAUUCACUGAAUUUCCUGAACUGGCACCAAACCAGAACCUAAGUCAACCUGAGGCUUCUGCAUACAAAGAUGGUAGCACCAGAAAACCCAGAAACACCGGGCUGGGGAGCUGUGAAAAGGGUCUUUCUUCAUUGGAAACCAGAACAGAAGAGCAUCAUCAAUUGGACUUGAUGAAAGACAGUAGUAAUAUCAUCAACAGACUCGACACAGAUGGAGAAGGAAUACUGAAGUUGGGUGACCUGAAACUAAGUGAUGGUGACUUCCCAGGAUCCUCUGCCACUUACCGUAUACUAGAGGUCGGCUGUGGUGCUGGAAAUACUGUCUUCCCAAUUUUGCAAACCAACAAUGAUCCAGGGCUCUUUGUUUAUUGCUGUGAUUUUUCCAACACAGCUGUGGAUCUUGUCCAGACCAAUUCAGAGUAUGACUCUUCUCGCUGUUUUGCCUUCGUUCAUGACCUGUGCAAGGACCAAAGCCCAUACCCAAUGCCAGAGAAGAGUCUUGACAUCAUUAUUCUCAUCUUUGUCCUAUCAGCUAUUCUCCCAGAGAAGAUGCAGUGCGUCAUUAACAGACUGAGCCAGCUUCUGAAACCAGGAGGAAUGAUUCUGUUACGAGAUUAUGGUCGUUAUGACCUGGCGCAGCUUCGAUUUAAGAAAGGUCGGUGUCUGUCCGAUAACUUCUACGUGAGAGGCGAUGGGACCAGAGUUUACUUCUUUACGCAAGAUGAACUGGAUGCUCUUUUCACCACGGCUGGGUUGGAAAAAGUCCAGAAUCUGGUCGAUCGGCGCCUACAGGUGAAUCGAGGGAAGCAAGUGACAAUGCAUCGAGUGUGGAUCCAGUGUAAAUACCGCAAGCCCUUCCCUGCAGGACAUAAGGAGAAUGGGCGUGUUCAUUAGCAAGGUGUGUCUAUCACAUGUGCUGUAUUUGGACUUGCUGGGACUCUCCUCCUGUGAAGCAUGUGGCACUGAGCAGACCUGCCAUUUCAUGCUGAAUUCUGGCGCCUUCUGAAAUGACCAGACUAGUCUGCCUCCCCCUCUCAGGAUCUCUGUUGGAGAGAAUCCAGCCUGACACCUUCCUAAUGACUAGUUUUGGCUGACAUUGCUGCGGGGAGAGGAGCCAGGGCUGUGCCUAUGCAAUCUGGUGCACCUCACAUGCCAUUCCACUCACAGCGCAUAUAUUUUGAUGGUGAGAUGAUCAUGGGCUAAGAGUACCUACACAGGAAGGAGAUGUCAGCUCGUUAGGGGCUGUUUCAUCUCACUGACAAAGACCUAACAAGAACCUAUGCCUGGAAGGGUGAAAGAGGAAGUAGAAAGAGAAGAAUUUGCUCCUGGUCCCUUAGAAGUCAAUGGGAGCUUUGUCAUUGAUACAGGACUGGGUCCAUUGGCUUGACUGGUGCUGGGAGAGCCCACAGGCAUCGCGAUGACAUCUCCUGCCACCAUCGUCAUGUUUAGGAGCUGGCCCUGUUGAUUCGUGACACUGCCACCACACAGCCAGCCUGUCCCUCUGCAAUUGUCAUUCCUAACUCCGUCGGGUGAUGUGUUCCAAGGCUGAAUACAGGUGCAAAGGUGACCCAACAAGUCCCUUGGAGCCUCCCUUUGAGUGCUGUGCAAGCUGAUACUAUUUUUGUGUUUUAAAGUCAGACUCCAAAACAGUUCUUUGGAAAUACCUGGUUAAUGCUUGAGAGAACAGCUGGAAGAAAAUCUCUUGUUAAAGGUGCUACAAUCCUGCUCCUUCUGUUCAGGGUUGAGAGAACUUUCAAACCACAUGGAUGGAGGAGAAGACCAGACUCAAAAUGCCUAUUUCUAAGGCAAAAAACCUAUGGAGAAUGCAUCUUUUCUUCACAGAUAUUUAGGCUUGGCAGGAUUCAAUUUUGAAUGUUUAUGAUUUAGAUGGAUAUUGAUAUUGAAUUUUAUGCGUUUUUAUCAGUUUUCACAGUUGUGGGAAACUAUGGGGGGUAAGACUAUAGCAAUUUAAUGACCAUAGGUGUUGAGAUUCAAAAAGUUAAAGCUUUAUAACUGUUAAAACACAAAUUGUCCACCUCGCAUAUCAAAAUAUACCAAGUAAAAACCCUUAAGUCAAA